ACACCGAUGGUGAAGCGGUUAUCAUGCUUGCCUUCCAUCCACUUGCCUACAAGGAUGCAGCAAGCGGCAGGGGUUCGACUCCCCUUCGGUGUA